rnacentral:rRNA from 1 species
GUCUAUGGCCAUGUCACCCUCAACAAGCCCAGUGUCUGAUCUCGAAAGCUAAGCAAGGUCAGUCCUGGUUAGUACUUGGAUAGGAGACCACCUAGGAAGACCAGGUGCUGUAGGCA